AGGCUGUGGCCACAGCAUCUGGAAGUUCCUGGGAUCAGCAUUCAGAUCAAACCUAUGCCAUAGCAGUGACAACCCCAAAACAUAAAUGGAUCACAGCCCCUUAGCUUCUCUUUACAUUGCAGACCAGACCUAUAUGUAGGUGCCCUAACAAAGGACAGUGGAGAAAAAGCAACAAGGCUGCUGCCAUAUUAGCCUCUCUCCUAAAGCACUCAAGAAGGUGUGUCAACUCGUAUGGAGCCAAUAGAGAUUAUGAACACUCUUUUGGCCAGCAAUUCCAGUGAUGCUUAAUCCUUUGAGCUCAUAGAUCCAUUUACAAAAGUUUGGACCAUUCCCUCUGCACCACCACCACCCCUGCCGCAAAAAAAAAAGACAUAUAUGUAUGUAAAAUACUUCCUGCAUUAACCCCAGUUUUUUAAAGCCCUAUUUUAGGCCAUAGCUCCCCCAAUUAUAGAAUCCUACAAUGUUGGACCCAGACAGAAACUUAGAGAUCAUUUUUGUGAAACCAUUAUAUUCCUCGGGGAAGGAAGGCUGAGGUCAUUUGGGAUAAUAAAUGGCUCUGUACAUUUUCAAAGACCUACUCCUCUGAUCGUCAACUCUACCCUUGAACAAGCUGCCCCCCACCCCAAUUUGCUCCUAUCAAAACACUGCAGCCCGGUGGGACAGUGUCGCCCCCCAGAUGGCUGACAUCAGGACGACAGUGAACAGUUGUGUGGGGCACCUGACAAACCAGGGAGUUGGGCACCAGAGCAGUUCUUGUUCUUGAGAUGAUCACAGGUGUCCAGGGGAGACACACAUACAACUAGCAGAACGUAGAAUAACAUGUGAACUUAUGGGUGUCUGAGAGGUGACAUGGGGGGGUGGGGGCACGAUGUCUGCUGGGUUGGAUCAGUCAAGGCUCCUAGGAGAGAAAACCCAGAGCUGUGGAGGGACAGAGUCUGCGGCUGAGGGGACCAGCAUGUGCCCAAGGCGGAGAAGCGCAAAACAGCCUGAGGUACACGGGGAGUUGGAAUUGGUCAGAACAGACGUGUCUGAGGAAGAGGCAGGAGGUAAGCCUGGAAGAGAGGAGAAGGGCCAGAUGCUAGAGGCCUUGGAUACCACACGAAGGGCUCGGACCUAAGGAAGAAUGUCAGCCUGGGUGAUGGAUGAAUAAGUCUCUUCCUGGGGAUGGUGCCAAGAGGCCAGUUAUCCAUCUAUCCCAGACGGCCUUCUGUGGGAUGAGGGUGGAAGUAAAGUUGGGGGGUGAGAGACUUUCUCAGAUCCCUAUCACACUCUCUUUAAAAAUCAGCCUCUGCCCAACACUGAGAACACAAGAAGAGUCCUGUAAAGUGUUCAUAAAAGAUGAGGCAAUCAGCCCAAAACACGUCUCUGAAGUAUCAGUGGGAUUUACUCACCAGAAAAGUACCAUUCUUUUCCACUAAAAGAUGGCCACACAGGAGGAGGCCUUCUCACAUAUAUGGAGAAAUUGUUUUCCUUUUUUAAAAAUCGAGGAUUUCCCAGGUGGCCUAGUGGGUUAAGGAUAUGGUAUUGUCACUACUCUGGCAUGGGUUCGAUCCUUGGCCUGGGAACUUCCGCAUGCCCUGGGCAAGGCCAAAAAGAGACAGAAAGAAAGAAGAAAAAAUCAAAACACAGGACUUAAAAAAAACCAAACAAACUGAAGUUAACCUGAGCACAGCUUGAUAUAUUGAUGUGUUUUUUUUGCAAAGUCUCACAUUUUUCAUUUAUUCUCAAAUUGAACCAGUUUAGUCUUAGGUGGUGGCUGGCUCUGAGGAAAUAUUAAUCAAGGAGGAGAACAUCUCCAGAAGCAAUAAGGGCAUUAAGAAGUGCUUGAUGGAGCAUGAUAAUGUGAGAAAAAGAAUGUAUAUAUGUUUGUGUAACCGGGUCACCAUGCUCUACAGUAGAAAAUUGAAAGAACACUGUAAACCAGCUAUAAUGGGAAAAAAAAGCAUUAUGUGUGUGUGUGUGUGUGUGUGUGUGUGUGUGUGUGUGUGUGUGCUUGGAAUGGAAGUCAUCUUCGACUCUGAAGGUGUCCUUCCCAUAUUCACCACUAGGUGUCAUAAGAAUCCCAUUUUAAAGAAAACUUCAAACUUGCUGACCAAAGAAAACCAUUUCCCCUAGCGUUUUUUUCAGUUAAAAAAAAAUAUUUUUUUAACAACAGCAAAAAAUGCAAAUGUUCAGGACUUAUCUCUAGAGUAGAUACAUGAUGAUUUUAAUUCCUCAGAUUCCUGCAAAUACGAUGAUCCCUACAGGAUCACAACAAAUAGAUUUUUGUUGAAAUAGCCACAGUAAACGUACAUUGCACAGGAAAUUCCAUUGCAUUUACACUAUUUAUUUAAUAAAAAUAAUCUCUGCGAUUAUUUGCAUUUAUUUCUGAAGGAGGAUGUUUUUCCUUCCUCAGAAUAAGUUCAGGAAAUGGGUGAAGUGUUCAGGAAGUUAGCUAAAUGUUGAUGUAAAUCCAAAAGGAAGGUCUGUUGUUUCAAAAAAAAAAAAAAAGCUAGGAAGUGGUUCUCUCUCUUUCACUUAUGGAAAAUGUUAUACAGAAUCUCUGAUUUAAAAGGAAGAGGACUAGGGAAAAUGCGUGUGCUCACGAUACCUUUUGCCAAUGGAUCUGGUUGGGCAGUCCAGACUUUGAUAACAGUAGCCUGCAAAGAAAGCUGUGUAGAGAAGUAACAUCUAGAUGGGAGAUGCGAACGGGAUUAAGUUUGUAGGAAAUGAAGCUCUUCCUAUGGAACUAGCCCAUAGGCUCUUCUGAGAAGUGUCUUGAUAGGAAACCCUGAGCCCGAAAGACGUGGAGGGAGGGGCCCCUUAACACUCCAUAAACAGCUAAACACUGGGCUCUCCUCCCAAGGCCCUCGUCCCUUCCAGCCACCAACCGCUGGUGUCAGGCCGGCCUGGGGGUGGGGGGAGGGGACAGUCUCACUGGGGAAACCCCAGCUCUCCCGGGUGCGAUCUGCGGCAGCCCUGGAGUGACAGGGUCGUCAUUUAUCUAGAACUGGCAACCCAACCGGGGGAGUGGACUAGAUCAGGUGUGCAGAGCAAACAGAAAGCUCCAGGGCUCUGAAAGGCAGGCGCUUUAGAAAGCACAGCUUCGGCUCACUGAACUGUGCGCAGAGGACGCCGUGUGUUGUGGUUUCUCUGAAAAUCGCCCCCUCCUUUCCAUCUCUCUGCUCCCCCCUUCGCCCAGGCCCUGGUGCUUUGUCGCCCACACCGGUCUGCCUGCCUCCUGCUCGCCUGUCUCCAGCCCACAGCCCCCGCAGCAGCCGGGGCCAGGUCUGCGAAACACCAGCGUGGACGUGCGCCUCCCUCGCCCUCACACUUGGGCCACCUCCCCUGCGCCUUUCGGAACUUGGCCUCAGCCCACCUUCCCUCCCACUGCGAGAGUCUCAGGCUCCAGUUACACGGGCCCGACUCGCCGCCCGCACCUCCCCACAGGCGUCUGGCGGCCAAGUUUAUUCACACAUGUCUGCCUCUCGCUCUGGGCGGGAGGGUGGGGUGUGCGCCUCACUUCCACGGAGCAGUCUCUUUGGGUUCAUAGCAUCACAGCACGAGGGACGCAAGAGAGCGGGUCCGGAGGACAGACGCACCUACGCACGCCACCUACGCGGGGCGAGGAUCAUAAAUCAACACGUGCGCCCGAAAACACGUGCAGAUGGAGGCGGCCCAUCCUUUGACUACACGCCGCCGAGGGCACCUCGGAAAUUUUGCUAUUUUUGACAUUCUGCACAGAGGAUGGUGUUGGCGAGCAGACCAAGUUUGAGAAAAGGUCUGGUCCUUGGGAGGGACCUGCCCUUUCCUUUCUCUUCUUCCUCCCCACACGGUCACCUGUUGAGGCAGACGUGUCCUUUCGGGACCAAGUGGGAUGACGCUGGUUUGGAAAGUGUUUUCUUUUUCCCACGGCACUCAGCGCUCAGAAGCUGUUCUACCCACACUAAACCAACAAGGCCCUAGGACUCAGAUUACGAAGAAAGUACAUAGCAAACAUGAUAGGAACCGUAGCGCUGAUCCCUUCGCGGGUCCGAGUCCUUUAGCGGGUUUAGGGGCAGGUGCUUAGUUGCCAUGAACUUCUGGAGCGAAAGGUUGUGCCUGAGGUAUCUUGGGGAGACCCUCCCAGACUGGCACAGGGUGGACCCUCAUUCAGCUCUUCCACAAAUAUUUACUAAGCAAUAGAGGAUUUGUUUUUCCAGGUUUGGAGUUUUAAGCUUGUUAAUAACAGAUGAAUUCCUUCUCCGUUUCGUCAUCUGCACUUUUGGACUCGAAGCUGGACCUUGUCUUUGCGGUUUUCUGCAAUCACUCCCUCUCUCCCUUCCACAGCCCACUCCAGUGUUCUACAUACUGUAGGCGCUCAGCGAAUAUUUGUUGGGGGGAGGAGAGAAGAGAAAAAAGGGAAGAGAAGAGAGAAGAGAGACAGCUUAUCAACCCAGUAGGUAAGGUAGGUGAUCACCCUCAAACCCAUUUUGGAGACUAGAGGAUUUUCUGCAGCUACCACCCAAACAUCUUUUGGGCAAGAACAGCCUGUGUGAUGGCUCUUGUCGUUUACAUUUGGUGUCUUUUCCUGGGCUGGCCACACUUGUCCCCACAGCCCCUCAGCUGCCCCACCUAUCAAGGUGAGACCUUCCUUCCAUUCUUCCUCCCUUCCUUCUUCUCUCCCUUAUACUUUACAUAGAUAUUUCUGAAACUCGUGCCAGGCCCUGAGGACACACAGUUGGGCACCUUUGGGUGCUCAGAGUCAUCUUCAGGUUGCUCAGUCCAGUGGGGCGACAGACAUACGAAUAGACCAUUUUACAGAUGGUACGACGAAGGUGCCCAGAGAUGAAGGCACCGAGGCUUGAACCUACCUACGAAAAUAAGGGAAGGGAGGCAGGAAGUGGCAAGUAGGCGGGUCGGAGAUGAUUUCCCAGGAAAGGUGACCCAGGAUUUCAAUGUUGAAGGAAGAACAGACACAGCCUCGUUGAAGAAAGAGGGAAGGGGCAUCGCAGGCAAAGGGGAACAUGUAUGAAACGGCAAAGGGUGUGAAAGGAAAAGGAUGGAAUUAGGACAGAUUUUUCUCUGUGCCUUAUCAAUCCCAUCUCGGCUUUAUACCCUACCUUUACCUCAGAGCAAGCAAAAUGAUGCAAUCCUCUGGCAUCUUGGAAAAUUUAGAUAGCCAAUCACGUAAUCUCUUAGAGAGAAAGGCAUUGAUAAUGUGGGUGAUCCUUGAGAUUAAGCACGUUCUUGGGUGAAAACCGGAUCGGGUGCUUACAGGGAGCCCUGUGGGAGGCUGAUGAAAAUCAGGCAGUGGCUGUGCAUCGUCAUAAAUUAGGCUUUUUAAUUCUCUCUCCCUGGGAGCUGGAGAAGUCAGAAUCCUUUGCCAGGAGAGCAGAUGAAUCCAUGGGUUCUCUUAGCCUAAGGACGAGACACAGGCAGGGGAAGGCAAGUCUAUGGAUUUCGGCGGUGGGGGAAGGUUCAUUUUGAAAACUUUUGGGACUAAACCUCUGCAAGCCCAACAUUUUCAAAACAUUUAAUGAGAUGCUUCCAGCCCUCCACCCCAGCUGCAGGGUGAAGGAAAACUGAGCAGAGGACAACGCCCUUCUCUGAGCGUGGUUUAUUUCUGUUCACAGAAACUCUGAAGACAGGAGGCCAAGGCUGACCUCUUCAGUCAAGAGUCUGCUCAACUUUAAAAUUAUGAUUGCAUGUGAAAGCUAAAAUGGGAACGAGAGAAAAUCAGUUCUCAGGACAGAAAUGCUAAAAACCCUUGGGCCACAUUCCAGUCAAGGUCCCGGCCCUGCAUACAGAACUCCCAUCGGGGGUGGGCGGGAGGCCAGCUAAGACCAGUUCAGAUCAGUUGAGCGUCAGGGAUCCUGGGCUUUAUUCUAAAGGUGUCCAGCUUACAGAUAAAGCCACUUAGCAGCGUGAUUAUGCUACAUAACCCUUAAAUGACAGAAGCUCAUGGCCAGGUCUAGUUAUUGAGCUGCUUGCCAAAAUGUUUACCCCUCUCCCGGGAGCUAUUUGCAGGAAAGAAAUCAGAGGGCGUUCCCAUCGUGGCUCAGCAGGUUAUGAACCAGACUAGCAUCCAUGAGGAUGAGAGUUCGAUCCCUGGCCUCACACAGUGGCUUAACAAUCUGGUAUGGUUGUGGCUGUGGUGUAGGCCGGGAGCUGCAGCUCUGAUUCGACCCCUAGCCUGGAACCUUCCAUAUGCCACAGGUGCAGCCCUAAAGAGCAAGAAAGCAAGGAAGGGAGGGAGGGAGGAAGGAAGGAAUCGAGGAAGAGACACGUGUUAGUUUCUAGGGCUACCAAAACGAACGAGAAGGCUUGAGACACAGACAUUCAUUCUCACACAUUUCUGGAAGCUAGACACCCAAAGCCAAGGUGAAGGUUGGGUCUCCCUGGAGGCUCUGGGGAAGACUCUUCCAUGCCUCUCUCCUGGCUUCCGGUGGCUGCCAGCAGUCCCUGCCUGCCCCUUAGCUGCACCAGGCCAAUCUCUGCCUCUGCCUUCAUGUGCCAUCCUCCCAUGUCUGUGUUCAGACUCCCCCCUCGUUAUAAAAACACCAGUCACUGGACUAGGCCCACCUAAUACAUCUCAUAGAACUCAUCCUAACUUGAUUACGUCUGCAAAGACCCUAAGUCCAAAGAAAUUCGCACGCACAGGUACAGGAGGAUAGGACUUCGACAGGUCUUCAGGCAGACACAACCCACAAAUGAGUAUAAAACAAAAAAGAAACCCUGAGCUAAGCACAAGAGAACCACACAAUGAGCCUGGGCAAGUCCCUCACCCUCUUUCCAUUCUCAGGGCUAAAGCAGGGCCUGCCUUGCUUCUCUCAGCGGUGCCACAAGCAUACAAUGAAAUCGUGUAAAUAAAAAUAUUUUCUCUACAGAAAGUGUUUCUACAAGCGCAGGGAUUACGAGGAAUUCAUUCCAGAUUGUGUUGACUUUUCCUUAACUUCAUAACUACUUAAUGAGUAGGUAAUGAAAUGAGAAACACAGCCUCUCAUACAGGCGAUUUAAAUUGCAUGCCUCCCUUCAGGUAGGGUUUGGAUAAAAGUACAAUAGCAAUCUGCAGGGAAGGAGAAGAGAAUUGCAGGUUCUUGUUCCCUGGGCUUUUCACGCAUAUCACAACAGGGUGGUUUUCAGGUGAAACCAACGGCUGGAAAGCAAUUUAGAGGCAGACCAAGAGGACAGCCAUACCCUCUGGGUCGUCGGCAGGCAUCUCAGAGCAGUCACUCCCCUCCCCUCUGUGUCUGUGUGGUCCGUAAUGUUGCUUGCUCUCAUGAUAAUGUCCUGAUAAUGACCUUGAGCCUACCUUGUCUGAUGCCUUUUCUGGCUAUGGGGACACAGGCCACCCAACUUAUAAAACUAGAUGGAGAAGUCAUUUUCCUGGCUGACUGAUGUGACAUAUUCCCAUGUCUAUGACACUAUUGUGACACAAUAAACUAUUGUGUAAAUAGAAAAAAAAAUUUUUUUUUAAUGAAAAUCUGAAGUUAAAAAAAAGCUCUCUGUCCCCUUUUCAAGAGGCCUGAAGCUCUCCCAGAUAUAGCGGACCUUUCCUCAGGCUGCCAGAUGAAGUCAAAGGGACUUGGAAGGUGUGUAAAAAUGACCACACAUCUUGGAAAUGCCCAAAAGGGGUGUCACGGGAUGACAGCUUGAGCACUGUGGUUACAGCCAAAGUGUCACGUGACCACUCGAGCGUUUCUGAUGACCACAGUAGUGAUAAAUUCUGUUGACCUUGGACCUCGGGGGUUUACUGACCCAGGAGAAAUCCCCGCAGGGAAAAAUAGCAGCAGCAAAAAAAAAAAAAAAAAAAAA
rnacentral:lncRNA from 1 species